rnacentral:tRNA from 1 species
UCAGUUGGUAGAGCAGCGGAUUGAAAAUCCGCGUGUCGAUGGUUCGAUUCCGUCCCAGGCCA